GCGACAAAAACUUCUCCUUACUUUCUCUCUCCUCAAGCACAGAUCAGGCUGGCGAUAAAAUUAUACACAACUACUACUGCUUUAACUCCUUUCUUCCUCUCCAACCUUCAGUGUCCAACAAAAACUCCAAACAGACUGUAAUCGCAAAAUACACAAUAUCAAACAUUUCAAAGAAUAAUCUCCUUCUCUCUCUACAUUUUUCUCAUAUCUGAACAUAUCAAAUUCACACAUUACAUUUUCUUAAGAAAAUUGCUGCUCAGAAAUAUAUACGAAUAGAAACAAAAAUUGAUUCGAAACACAUUUUGAAAAUCAGAUGAAGAUAAAUGCGCAUGAACGAAAUUUACAACGGCAAAAACUCAUUCCAAUAAGGUAAUAAUCGGAAGAAUCUGUUAUGUACCACAGAUAUUCAAAAUCUAGAAGAAGAAAAAAAAAACAGAGUAAGAAAAUAUAAGCAGAGAUUAAUAAAAUGGCGAAGUUACGAAGUAAAUCGAAUCUCUUACCUUACUCUUCACUUGCGAAUUGAAUCUCAAACCGCAGCUCAAAAUCACAAAAAACUUGUUCAAAAUGAAAUAGGCUUUAGUACAAUCACUUUUUUUUUUGCUCAAUUUACGCACUUUCUAGAGCUUCAGGAACAAAUCAAAUCAAUCAGCAAGUGUAGAAUCUCAGCGUAUCAAACUUCCGUUAUAUUCGGAAUUGUAGAACAAAAUCUUCAAGCCCGGCGAGUCCCCGGCGGUAUUUCUGAUUCAAUAACGGAAAGUUUCGGAUUUUCAGCUCAAGGUUCU
rnacentral:lncRNA from 1 species